GGCGAAGUGGCCGAGUGGUCUAUGGCGCUAGCUUCAGGUGAAAGCAAUUGCUAGUCUACGUAUGUGGGCGUGGGUUCGAACCCCACCUUCGUCA
rfam:Schizosaccharomyces pombe chromosome I, complete replicon